UACAGAGGUGGCAAGCGUUGUUCGGAAUUACUGGGCGUAAAGGGCGCGUAGGUGGCCUUGUUAGUCAGACGUGAAAUCCCCCGGCUUAACCUGGGAACUGCGUCUGAUACUGGAGGGCUUGAGUGCGGGAGAGGGAUGUGGAAUUCCAGGUGUAGCGGUGAAAUGCGUAGAUAUCUGGAGGAACACCGGUGGCGAAGGCGGCAUCCUGGACCGACACUGACGCUGAGGCGCGAAAGCUAGGGUAGCAAACGGG
rnacentral:rRNA from 1 species